CUACUGUCCUUUACUUAGAUACCACAUAUUGCCAACCCACAAAAUCCACUGCCGUAUAUGGAUAUAAAUAUUGUCAAACUUUUCGUAAAU